UACGUAGGGGGCAAGCGUUGUCCGGAUUUACUGGGCGUAAAGAGCGUGUAGGCGGCCAAGCAGGUCCGUUGUGAAAACUGGAGGCUUAACCUCCAGACGUCGACGGAAACCGCGUGGCUAGGAGUCCGGAAGAGGAGAGCGGAAUUCCUGGUGUAGCGGUGGAAAUGACGCAGAGUAUCAGGAAGAACACCCGUGGCGAAGGCGGCUCUC
rnacentral:rRNA from 1 species